rnacentral:rRNA from 1 species
CCUACGGGGGGCAGCAGUGGGGAAUAUUGGACAAUGGGGGGAACCCUGAUCCAGCCAUGCCGCGUGUGUGAAGAAGGCCCUCGGGAUGUAAAGCACUUUCAGUGAGGAAGAACGCCUGGUGGUUAAUACCCAUCAGGAAAGACAUCACUCACAGAAGAAGCACCGGCUAACUCCGUGCCAGCAGCCGCGGUAAUACGGAGGGUGCGAGCGUUAAUCGGAAUUACUGGGCGUAAAGCGCGUGUAGGUGGCUUGAUAAGCCGGUUGUGAAAGCCCCGGGCUCAACCUGGGAACGGCAUCCGGAACUGUCAAGCUAGAGUGCAGGAGAGGAAGGUAGAAUUCCCGGUGUAGCGGUGAAAUGCGUAGAGAUCGGGAGGAAUACCAGUGGCGAAGGCGGCCUUCUGGACUGACACUGACACUGAGGUGCGAAAGCGUGGGUAGCAAACAGGAUUAGAUACCCCUGUAGUC